AUGAACGCUGGCGGCGUGGAUAAGGCAUGCAAGUCAAACGGCUCUUCGGAGCAGUGGCAGACGAGGUAGUAACAUGUGGGAACUCACCCUAAAGUCAGGAAUAACUGAUCGAAAGAUCAGCUAAUACUUGAUAGUCCCUUCGGGGUAAAGAUUUAUCGCUUUAGGAGAGGCCCGCACAGUAUCAGCUUGUUGGUAAGGUAAAAGCUUACCAAGGCUAUGACGCUUAGGGGAGGUGAGAGCCUGACCCCCACCGAUGGAACUGAGACACGGUCCAUACACCUACGGGUGGCCGCAGUCGAGAAUCUUCCGCAAUGGACGAAAGUCUGACGGAGCGACGCCGCGUGAUUGAUGACGCCCUUAGGGGUGUAAAGAUCUUUUAUGAGGGAGGAAGUUUAUUGACGUUACCUCAUGAAUAAGGGGCUCCAAACUCUGUGCCAGCAGGAGCGGUAAUACAGAGGCCUCAAGCGUUAUCCGGAAUUAUUGGGCGUAAAGGGUGUGUAGGCGGUUUCAUUAGUCUUUUGUUAAAGCCCCGGGCUCAACCCGGGAAAGGCAAGAGAAACGGUAAGACUAGAGGGUGCGAGGGGUGAACAGAACUCAUAGUGUAGGGGUGAAAUCCGUUGAUAUUAUGGGGAACACCAAAUGCGAAGGCAAUUAGCUGGCACAUUUCUGACGCUGAGACACGAAAGCGUGGGUAGCGAAUGGGAUUAGAUACCCCAGUAGUCCACGCCGUAAACGUUGCUCUCUAGCUUUUCGGAGUAUCGACCCUCUGAGAGGCGAAGCUAACGCGUUAAAAGAACCGCCUGGGUAGUACGGCCGCAAGGCUAAAACUCAAAGGAAUAGACGGGGGCUUGCACAAGCGGUGGAUCAUGUGGCUUAAUUCGUCGAUAAACGAAGAACCUUACCAAGGCUAGAUAUCUAAUUGAAAGUUCUAAGAAACUAGAACCCUCUUCGGACAAUUAGACAGGUGUUGCAUGGCCGUCGUCAGCUCGUGGCUUGAGCUGUUCCCUUAAGUGGGGUAACGAGCGCAACCCUCAUCGUGUGUUACAAGUGUCACACGAGGCUGCCCUCGCUUUUGCUCAGAAAUUUAUUUUUGUGAUCAGAAGCGAGGGAGGAAGGUGGGGAUGACGCCAGGUCAGCAUGACCCUUGACGCCUUGGGCUGCACACGUGAUACAAUGGGUAGGACAAAGGGACGCAAUAUCGCGAGAUGGAGCAAAUCCUGAUAAACCUAUCCUCAGUUCGGAUUGUAGUCUGCAACUCGACUACAUGAAGUUAGAAUCGCUAGUAAUCGUGGGUCAGCGAUACCACGGUGAAUACGUUCUCAAGCCUUGUACUCACCGCCCGUCACAUCAAGGGAGUUGGGGGUACCCGACAU
rnacentral:rRNA from 1 species